rnacentral:rRNA from 1 species
UGGGGAAUUUUGCGCAAUGGGCGAAAGCCUGACGCAGCAAUACCGCGUGAGUGAUGAAGGCUCUUGGGUCGUAAAGCUCUGUCAGAGGGGAAGAACCUCCUGUCGUUUAAUACGCGACAGGCCUGACGGUACCCUCAGAGGAAGCACCGGCUAACUCCGUGCCAGCAGCCGCGGUAAUACGGAGGGUGCAAACGUUGUUCGGAAUUAUUGGGCGUAAAGAGCAUGUAGGCGGCUCGCCAAGUCUGAUGUGAAAGCCCUGGGCUCAACCCAGGAAGUGCAUUGGAAACUGGCGAACUUGAGUACGGGAGAGGAAAGUGGAAUUUCGAGUGUAGGGGUGAAAUCCGUAGAUAUUCGAAGGAACACCAGUGGCGAAGGCGGCUUUCUGGACCGAUACUGACGCUGAGAUGCGAAAGCGUGGGGAGCAAACA